GGAGACGUGGCCGAGCGGUCGAAGGCGCUCCCCUGCUAAGGGAGUAGACAGGAAACUGUCUCGAGGGUUCGAAUCCCUUCGUCUCCGCCA
rnacentral:tRNA from 1 species